CAAAGCGACAUUAAGCCUCUGCCCAAGGUCACUUGUCUAACUCACUGGACACCGUCCCAGCUCCACCAGCCUCCCCAUCCGCCCUGCAAGCCUUUCCCACAGAAGCGCUGGAAUUUCUCGGGGCUGGUUCCAGCCAUUGCAGAAAGCCUGACUUUUUCAGAUCAAACAGUCGGUAAGAAGGUGGCAACCUGGAAAUGUGGAUUGCAUUCAUCCUGGGCUUCUCCUACUGGAUGGCAAGGUCUGAACAAUUCGGAAACUCAGUCCUGGGAAACCGGCCAGAGAAGAAACGGAUGGACCUGCUCUCUGGAGGCUUCCGGUCUCCAGAGGCUUCCGGUCGCUGGAGGCUUCCGGUCUCCUGAGGUUUCCUGUCUCCGAAGGCUUCCGGUCUCACGCUGUAGGAAUGCGACAGUCAACCACAGCGAACAUCGCUGCGGUCUGAGAUUAUCAGUAAAUGGUUUCUGAGCAAGGCAGGAACUUAACUGAGCCUUUCCAAAUACUGUUGCUUCCACCUGGAACUCACCCUUCAUCUCAUCUUCUAGAAAAACACCUACUUUUCCUUAAAGAAACUGUAAGUCCAAAGUCAGGGCAUCUUUCAGCUCGCCUCAGCCCAGCUCUGCCUUUCCUCCUCCCUCAAGUCCUUCAGUUGCUGCCAGUUCUGCAAAUUACACCUGGAGCGCUUUGACAGAGAGUUGGCUGGACCAUAGGACCUCGGGGCCUGAGGCAAGACAAGAUUGUCCCAAGUGGAAAUACAGACCUCACGCUCCCUCAAGAUAGCUUAGGGUGUGGAUAAGUAUACACCUGCUAUGUAUAACAGGUGAUUUGUCUUAAAAUUUUUCUUGAAACUAGAAAGGUUGUCAGAACUUUAAAUGCUCCAGAGAAGGUGGAUUCUACCUGCUCUCAUUCAGACUCCAUUAACCCCGGGGGGUUAGCUGGACAAAAAGAUAGGAGGCCAGCAGAGUCAGGAAGGGUGUCCGGAGCGGCUGGAAUAGCCUACCUCAGGACUGGUCCCAGGUGGGGCAGGGGCGGGGCUGCUACGACUUUGCGGAGGAGGAUCGGGCUUACGUUAACAGGGGUGCCUUUCCUGAGAGCAAAGGUUACCCAUGUCCUUUUUCUAGACGGCUUAUGUGGGUGUAACCAAGUCUGGCCCCCAAACCAGGCUCCAAGCCAGAUGUGGAAAAAGAAGUAUGUCAGUAGUGGCGCAAAGAUAAAAGCCAUCUCUUGGAUCUAAGACUCAAGGCACAAGGCUAUCUCUCUCAGAACCGGGAGCGGUCCCCGAGGACUCUUCGUGCGAGGUAAGCCCGGGAAGUCAGACGGGUUCCAUCCCUGGUGCCAUUUCCCAUGAUAUCACAGCAACCGCCUGGAGGGCUGUGCGGCCAGGGACCCACGCUCCUCACUGCCGCCCGCGGACCACUCCAGGCGGCAGCCCUGCUCACCUGUCCACUUGCAUUUCCUUCCUGCAGCUGCUCUCCCCUCAGCUCACUGUGAGGAAAAAACAUCACCAGAGUCGCCUAUGUCCCUCAGUGGAGCCAAGAUUGACGUGAUGCUGCCUGAGAUGCUCACAUGCUCCAGGGAGCUCGUGCAGGGGCUGGAGGACAGCCGUACCCCCACCCCCACCCCCCCGGAAACUGCAGCACCUGAACACUGAAUGAGAGAAGCCCUCGAGGAGUUCUUCCGACCUUAAUCUUUCAGGGUGUCAUUAAGAGGCUGACAACAGGAAAGCUUAAAUCCUGCUUGGGUUGGUCCAAGGUGUAAUUGACCAAGCUUUUACAAAAGGGAACUUCAGGGUCCCUGUGUCCCACUCAGCUGUCAAGUGGAUUAACCAGGACUAAAAAGACAGCCCUUUGAACACCCAUAGCGCCAAAACGAAAGAAUUAAAUCAGUGAAGUAUUAGUGUUUUUUUGUACUCAAAGAUAAAAUUAAAUACUUAAUAUUUGUCUGUCGCAUACCAAAGCAAAUUACACAAAAUAACCCGAAAUGAAAUACUUAAUUAGCUGCUCUGAAAUAGAUUUGUUCUCAAGCCAUUAAUCUAAUUAGCACACACAACUUCCCUUUUGCAGCACUUGCCUUGUUUAUGCAUGAGGCCAACACACAGCUCACAUUUGUCUACUUAUGUAUGCGUAUAUUUCUAAGAGCCUCCUCCUUGUAGUACAGACUAUUUUCUGCUCCCUUGCCUCCCACAUUUGUGAGUAACAUUCAUUAUCCACAAAACAAAAUAAAGAAAUUGGUCCGAAUGAGAAACA
rnacentral:lncRNA from 1 species